AGAACAAUACGUGGUUAAAAUCAGAAUUAUGCCCGCGGCAAGUGCAAGGGUUGGCCAUUGUUUCGCAACUUGUUGAACCGUGCCCUCCGUGCCUUGUGAUGUCGUGCCUUCGACUCCUUCGAGUGAUCUGAAUUUAAUUGAUAUUCCUCAGAUUUUCGUCGUACAAUUAAUAGUGUGAAUCGCCGAUCGUUGCAUUAUUACAGUGUCUCGCGAUAACUCCUCGGUUUAUUUGAGAACAGUCGUGGGUCAUUCGUAGCCUGAAUCGUAAUUUCGCCCGUGGCAAGUGGAAGGGUCGGCCAUUUUGUUCCUGCCAUUCAGUGAUCUGAAUCAAAUUGAUAUUCCUCAAAUUUUCGUCAUAUUCAUUGUGUGAAUCGUCGAUGAUCGCAUAAUAAGUAUCGCGUCUCGCGUGACCUCAUCGGUCUAAUUGAGAACAGUCGUGAGUAAUUUCGUAGCUUGUAUCGAAAUUUCGCGUGCGGCAAGUGAAAGUGUCUGCCACUAUUUCGGAACUUGUUGAAUCGUUGCCUCGUGGGUCCCGAGCUUCGACUCUUGGCGUCCUGUCAUUGAGAGUGUAACUGAUAUGCUACAGAUUUUCGUCGUUGAACUCAAAGUGUGAAUUUCCGAUUCAUCAGUGCGGUUUUCGGAUGCGUGUGAACAAUUUAGUGCGAAUCGUUCGAUGUUGACAUUUUGUGCGUGUGUGUGUUCUUUUCUAAAUUAUCAACUUCACGUCUACAGUGUACUCGCGUGGUUUGGCUCUUGUUCAAUUAUCCAGGAUUUAAUCGAUCGAUUGUGUAUUUUGCUGCAAAGAGGAUGUCCAAUAUCUGGUCGAAAUUUUUCCUCGCUGCUGACGUUGGUCCUGGAUCAAGUGCAUAGUGCGGAGUUAGUGUUAACGUUUUGAGUGCUUUCAGCUUGGCGUCGGGCGAUUGGAUAACUCUCUUCUGAAUAUCGCUGUGCAUCCUGUUAGCUGCUCAUCGGUAUGUAAAUCAUAUUUAAUUUUUCCAAAAUUAAAGAUAUUAGAGAGUAAAUAUAUACCUGGAAUCGACUCGUCGGAUCAAUUUUUCUUCCCGUAAUUAGGAAUUUGGUAGUAAUUUAAACUCCGGAGUAGGUUUGUGGUAUUAUGCGAAAUUGAAGGAGACUCGUAGCUUUUUGCCCACCUUAAGUCACUGGCGUUGAUGAAUUUUAUGUUCUGAUUGAUAUGAAAGUCACGUAAUUUUAAUUAUUCUGAAUAUAUCUCUGGAAAAAUCUGGAAAAAUUCUUGCGAUACCGAGAUGAAACGCGCGUAGUU
rnacentral:lncRNA from 1 species